ncrna:unclassified sequences RAGATH-18 RNA
CCUAUGGAGAGUAGAAGAACUUGUGAGUAGUAUUUGAAUCAUUUUAGUAUGAAAGCAUACUCGUUGAAGUAGGAA